rnacentral:rRNA from 1 species
AAUCAACGCUGGCGGCGUGCCUAACACAUGCAAGUCGAGCGAGAAAAGGGGAGCAAUCCUCUGAGUAAAGCGGCGCACGGGUGAGUAACACGUGGGUAAUCUGCCCUGGAGUGGGGAAUAACACCGGGAAACCGGUGCUAAUACCGCAUACGAUCACGAUGUCUGCGGAUGACGUGAUGAAAGGAGCAAUUCGCUCCAGGAGGAGCCCCGCGGCUGAUUAGCUAGUUGGUGAGGUAAUGGCUCACCAAGGCUACGAUCAGUAUCCGGUCUGAGAGGACGGUCGGACACACUGGAACUGAGACACGGUCCAGACUCCUAC